AAACUUUCAACAACGGAUCUCUUGGCUCUAGCAUCGAUGAAGAACGCAGCGAAAUGCGAUAAGUAAUGUGAAUUGCAGAAUUCAGUGAGUCAUCGAAUCUUUGAACGCACAUUGCGCCUGGCAGUAUUCUGCCAGGCAUGCCUGUCCGAGCGUCAUUU
rnacentral:rRNA from 1 species